UACGUAGGUGGCAAGCGUUGUCCGGAAUUAUUGGGCGUAAAGCGCGCGCAGGCGGUCCUUUAAGUCUGAUGUGAAAGCCCACGGCUCAACCGUGGAGGGUCAUUGGAAACUGGGGGACUUGAGUGCAGAAGAGGAAAGCGGAAUUCCACGUGUAGCGGUGAAAUGCGUAGAUAUCUGGAGGAACACCGGUGGCGAAGGCGGCAUCCUGGACCGGCAUUGACGCUGAGGCGCGAAAGCCAGGGGAGCAAACGGG
rnacentral:rRNA from 1 species